CAGGAUCCAAGAUGGGGCCGAUGCUUCAGGAGAUGCUACAGCGAGAAGCCGCAGCUCGUCAAGGCUAUGACGACGAUUAUCUCGGGGCUUCAAGCUGCGGCUUGCUCCAAGCACUAUGAACUGUGCCAACAGGAAUUCGUGAUCCCUGAUUGGCAAGGCAUUGACAGGAUCACAAAACCCGGCACAUACUUACACAGUUCUCGUCUCAGUGGAAUUGACAUGAAGAUAAUGACUUCUUGCUUCAUCAUGGUGCCCCGUACGAGUACACCAAGUUCAUCGGCACUCUGACGUCUCUGGUGAAGGAAGGUUUCAUCUCCAUGGACAGGAUUGAUGACACGGUGCGGAGACUUCGCUUUGUGAUGUUCUCGGCAGGUUUGAUCGGCGUAAGCGGCCCUCGAAGCUCAAACUUUCGGAUUUUUAUACGUAAGCUUUCCUGCUAGGCUCACA